rnacentral:piRNA from 1 species
GAGCUUUGAAUUGUAGAUAAUCUC